rnacentral:rRNA from 1 species
GACGAACGCUGGCGGCGUGCUUAACACAUGCAAGUCGAACGAAGUGGCGAACGGGUGAGUAACGCGUAAUCAACCUGCCCUUCAGCGGGGGACAACAGUUGGAAACGACUGGUAAUACCGCAUACUGAAGGAGGGGAUUGCGUCUGAGUAGCUAGUUGGAGGGGUAACGGCCCACCCAGGCGAUGAUCAGUAGCCGGUCUGGUAGGAUGAACGGCCACAUUGGGACUGGUACACGGCCCCGACUCCUAAGGGAGGCAGCAGUGGGGAAGCGUCCGCAAUGGACGAAAGUCUGACGGUGCAACGCCGCGUGAGUGAUUACGGCCUUCGGGUUGUAAAGCUCUGUUAAUCGGGACGCGGUACCGGAAUAGAAAGCCACGGCUAACUACGUGCCAGCAGCCGCGGUAAUAC